rnacentral:rRNA from 1 species
CGAAGCUUGACGGAUGAUUUCUUCGGAAUGAAACCAGAUAUGACUUAGUGGCGGACGGGUGAGUAACACGUGAGCAACCUGCCUUUCAGAGGGGGAUAACGGCUGGAAACGGUCGCUAAUACCGCAUGACGUGUUCGGAUGGCAUCAUCUGAACAUCAAAGAUUUAUCGCUGAAAGAUGGGCUCGCGUCUGAUUAGAUAGUUGGUGGGGUAACGGCCUACCAAGUCGACGAUCAGUAGCCGGACUGAGAGGUUGAACGGCCACAUUGGGACUGAGAUAUGGCCCAGACUCCUACGGGAGGCAGCAGUGGGGAAUAUUGCACAAUGGGGGAAACCCUGAUGCAGCAACGCCGCGUGAAGGAUGACGGUUUUCGGAUUGUAAACUUCUUUUCUUAGUGACGAAGACAGUGACGGUAGCUAAGGAAUAAGCAUCGGCUAACUACGUGCCAGCAGCCGCGGUAAUACGUAGGAUGCAAGCGUUAUCCGGAUUUACUGGGUGUAAAGGGAGCGCAGGCGGGACUGCAAGUUGGAUGUGAAAUACCGUGGCUUAACCACGGAACUGCAUCCAAAACUGUAGUUCUUGAGUGAAGUAGAGGCAAGCGGAAUUCCGAGUGUAGCGGUGAA